GACAGAGGAUGCAAGCGUUAUCCGGAAUGAUUGGGUACGGUAAAGCGUCUGUAGGCGGCCUGUUAAGUCGAACGAUUGAAAUCCCCGGGCUCAACCCGGGAACUGCGUCCGAUACUGGCAGGCUUGAAUCCGGGAGAGGGAUGUCGGAAUUCCAGGUGUAGCGGUGAAAUGCGUAGAUAUCUGGAGGAACACCGGUGGCGAAGGCGGCGAUCCUGGACCGGCAUUGACGGCUGAGGCGACGAAAGCCAGGGGAGCAAACGGG
rnacentral:rRNA from 1 species